rnacentral:sRNA from 1 species
GAUCAGGAGGGCACCGGCUUCCUCGCAGCGCCCGGCCAGCUGCCGCAACUCGGCGGGGCUGGG